UACAGUCAUAUCACGUUGAAAAGCCGAUUCUCGUACGAUCAUCGAAGUUAAGCAACGUCGAGCUUAGGCAGUACGUAGAUGGGCGACCGCUGGGGAAUACCACGUGCUGUAAG